ACGUUCACAAGAACCAAAACCGGAAAAAUAUUAGACUACUCAGUUGUUCCCUAAUAGUAUAACUUUACAAUGAGUACUUUUUCUCAUUCAACCGAACAAAGAGUAAAACCUAAUUAUAUUGUUCUAUUAUGCCCCGAGAGUGUAAAUUUGCAACGUAUCGAUGCCAACGUCCACAAAAAUCAAAGCUGAAAGAACAUUAGACUACUCAGUUGCGCUCUAAUAGCAUAACUUUGUAAUGAGUACUUUUUCUCCUUCAACCGAACAAAGAAUAAAAGCUAAUUAUAUUGUUCUAUUAUGCCCCGAGAGUGUAAAUUUACAAUGUAUCGAUGCAAACAUUCACAAAAAAUAAAACCGGAACAACAUUAGACUACUCAGUUGUGCCCUAACAGUAGAACUUUGCAAACAGUGCUUUUUCUCAUUCAAUCGAACAAAGAGUAAAAUCCAACUAUAUUAUUCUAUUAUACCGCGAGAGUUUAAAUUUGUAACUUAUCGAUGUCAACGUUCACAAGAACCAAAACCGGAACAACAUUAGACUACUCAGUUGCGCCCUAACAGUAUAACUUUGCAACGAGUACUUUUUCUCAUUCUAUCGAACAAAGAGUAAAACCUAAUUAUAUUGUUCUAUUAUACCCCGAGAGUGUAAAUUUUUAACUUAUCGAGGUCAACGUUCACAAGAACCAAAGCCCAACCAACAUUAGACUACUCAGUUGCGCCCUAACAGCAUAACUUUGCAAUAAGUACUUUUUCUCCUCCAA
rnacentral:lncRNA from 1 species